CCUACGGGCGGCAGCAGUGAGGAAUAUUGGUCAAUGGGCGCGAGCCUGAACCAGCCAAGUCGCGUGAAGGAUGACUGUCCUACGGGUUGUAAACCUCUUUUAUAAAGGAAUAAAUGGCGGCACGUGUGCCUUUUUGAAUGUACUUUAUGAAUAAGGAUCGGCUAACUCCGUGCCAGCAGCCGCGGUAAUACGGAGGAUCCGAGCGUUAUCCGGAUUUAUUGGGUUUAAAGGGAGCGUAGAUGGGUUGUUAAGUCAGUUGUGAAAGUUUGCGGCUCAACCAUAAAAUUGCAAUUGAUACUGGCAGCCUUGAGUACGGGUGAGGUAGGCGGAAUUCGUGGUGUAGCGGUGAAAUGCUUAGAGAUCACGAAGAACUCCGAUUGCGAAGGCAGCCUACUAGACUGCCACUGACAUUGAUGCUCGAAAGUGUGGGUAUCAAACAGGAUUAGAUACCCCUGUAGUC
rnacentral:rRNA from 1 species